rnacentral:rRNA from 1 species
GGUGAUAGUCCCGUGCCACUUGUUCCAAGUGAGAGGUCGUGUUCCACGAGUCGGGUAGCUUGGGAUUGCUGCCCAAAGUGGGAGGUAGACUUCUUCUAAGGCUAAAUACUCACAAGAGACCGAUAGCGAACAAGUACUGUGAAGGAAAGAUGAAAAGAACUUUGAAAAAAGGGUUAAAAUACUUGAAAUCGCUGAGGAGGAAGCAGUGGGCUCUGCAGCGCUGGCAGUACAACUAACGACACGUCGUUGGAGCAGCUGACAGCACAACUCCGUCUGCGUCCUCGUGCUGUGCCUGAAGGCUGUUAGCCCACAGAGCCAGCACAAUGGAUUCAGGCGGAGUCGCGGUGUCCACUGACCCGUCUUGAAACACGGACCAAGGAGUCUAACAUGCGUGCAAGUAGUAGGGUUUAA